UACAGAGGUCCCAAGCGUUAUUCGGAUUCACUGGGCGUAAAGGGUGCGUAGGGGGGGAGGUAAGUCGGAUGUGAAAGCUCGGAGCUCAACUCCGAAAUGGCAUUGGAAACUACCUUGCUCGAGGGUUGGAGGGGGGACUGGAAUACUUGGUGUAGCAGUGAAAUGCGUAGAUAUCAAGUGGAACACCAGUGGCGAAGGCGAGUCCCUGGACAACUCCUGACACUGAGGCACGAAAGCUAGGGGAGCAAACAGG
rnacentral:rRNA from 1 species